rnacentral:lncRNA from 1 species
ACACUAGUAAAAGUACAGAGAUUGUGCUUGGAGACUAGGAUUAGGAGUACAUAAACUCCUAGAACUGUGAGUAAACUUAUUAUCGUCUUAAUUAUCUAAAGUAGUUUUAUACAAUUGUGUGAUUUUAUGAAAAAUGGGUUUAAAUGGUAAAUUGCUAUGUUUUAGAAGAAAUUGUGAUUUUAUAAAAUGAUUUUAUAAAUUUUCUGAAAAAUUGAAUACUGGUUUCAAAAAUAGAGUAAUUGGAGACUGCCUGCUUGUGUUGUAAAAUUAUGGUUUUAAAUUGAAUGGCUUAUGAUAAUAAAUGAGCAUGAAUGGCUAAACUAAUUUUGGUGUUAGAAUUAUUUGUAAUGUGUAUUCAGCCUUGAGAGGCUAGGUUGCGAUAAAUUGCCAUGUCAUGCAGAAAAAGAUUUUAUAAAUCAGGUGGUAGAUAAAAUAAUCCAUAGUCACUGCAAUGGUGGGGGUUUCCGUGGACUGCCUAUGAGAGGGGCAUGGUAACCCAAUUAUAUAUUUACCUCCGGGGGGAGAUGUUGGAUGAAGUAUCUCCUGAGGUAAAGAUUUGAGUACACUUCACGUGGACCACCGCGUGAGAGUGAGACUCAGCCAACACCAAGGUAUGGCUAAAAUUUCAGAUGUAAAGACAUUUAAUAGCCUUGGCGGACUCGGUUGGGAUAACCCUCUAUCAAGGUAUCCUUGAUAACUGAGUAUGAGAAUGAUUUUUUUGGCACGAGCCAAGCUUUUCAUGAAAUCAUAAGCCUAUUUGUUUAUUUGGUUAAAAUGAGUUGAAAGGUAAUGAAAUUACAGUAAGAUGACUUAUUUUAAUUCGUCUCCAUUUACUCGCCUAUAGAUAGUUUAGAUGGUGUCUGUUUACUCACUAGGAUUUUAUAAUCUCACAACCCUUAUUUCCUUACAUUUCAGGCUCGGGGAAUUUCAUAGUUAGCUAACUUUGACAAGGACCUUCAUUGGGACUUGAAUCAGCAAAAGCUGUAGGUUUUCAGCUUUCGAUGCAUUUUGGUUAGAUGUGGGCUCACAUGUCGCUGUAAAAGAAAUUUUAUACUUCAGUUAUCUGAUUUAAAGUAUGUAUGAACAUAUUUAGCUUUUACACCAUGUUUUUGG